rnacentral:rRNA from 1 species
GACGAACGCUGGCGGCGUGCUUAACACAUGCAAGUCGAACGGAAAGGCCCUGCUUUUGUGGGGUGCUCGAGGGGCGAACGGGUGAGUAACACGUGAGUAUCCUGCCCUUGACUUUGGGAUAACUUCAGGAAACUGGGGCUAAUACCGGAUAGGAGCUCCUGCAGCAUGGGGGGGGUUGGAAAGUUUCGGCGGAUGGGGUUGGAGUCGCGGCUUACCAGUUUGUUGGUGGGGUUGUGGCUUACCAAGGCUUUGACGGGUAGCCGGCCUGAGAGGGAGACCGGGCCCAUAGGCCUACGGGAGCGACCCGUGGGGAUUCGGGGGGAAAGGGUGGGAAACUGUGCCAGAUAGGCGGCAGGCUGAAGGAGCACCUCCGCGUGGGGGAUCACGGCCUUCGGGUUGGAAACCGCUUUCGCCUGUAACGAAGCGUGAUGAAGGGAAAUGAGUAAAGAAGCACGGGCUAAUUACGU